CUGUUGUUGGACACUAAGAUUCUUCUAUAUCUCUACUUUGUCAUUCAUAGCUUUUGCUUCAUCCUUAGGCUCCUUCUUAUGGUCAUAAUACAGCUGUUUGCACAUCAUUAUCCAGGAGAGAAGAUUCACUUCCAUAUCCCCAAGCCCCAUGAGAGGCCUAUGCAUCUUGAACCAACUACUGGAUUUCGUUGUAGCUUUUGUGGCACCCUUGCACUGCACCCUCCGGCAUGCCUUCAGCACCAGGAGUUCAGAAGAGGAGUUGGAGGGCUCAGCAGACAGCGGUCACCGAUACCCUAGGACAGCUUCAGGCCAGAGAGCAGUAUUGUUCUUUACAAGCCUUUCACGUAAAUUGCCAGAGCCAAGAUGUACUACACAGAAUAUUUAGGAGACUUUCUCUAAGAGAUUCUUUGAGAUGCAUAACUUGGUGGCUGGAGACGACGUCAGUCUUUUGUAAGUCUGAGAUUUUUCAAUUUUUAAAAUGGAAUAUUUUGCUUCUGGGGACUCCUCUCCAUGGAAUUGUAAAGUGCCCUUGUGUCAUUGUGUAAUCAUUCAACAAGAGCCUUGCCUUGGGAGCAUUGCAGUGGCUGGGAAUUAAGAAACUUCUGUUUCAAUUCCAACUGUACCAGUGACUUCUGUGCGACCUUAGGGAAAUUAGUUAACCUCCUUAGGUUUUAUGUGUUUCAAAAUGAGAAUCAGACUAUUACCUCAUAGUCUGGGCUCAAGACUCAAUAAGGAGCUGAAGCCGAAUGAGCUCCCCAGGUGAUGGCUGCUAAAGCUAGGCUGGUGCUCCAGUGUGAAGCCCCCCCCCCCCCCCCCCACCGCCGUUCACCAGUUCAGGAGCACAAUUAGUAACUCUGUCAGCCUGCAGUCCUUUGGAAAGCUUAUUAUACUAAUAAUACAUUUUAUUUGAGGAGCAUAUCAUGAUUUUUAAAAGACUAUUAUGUAUUUAGUCUUCUAAUUUGAUUUUCUCCAUCCUGAGGAAGGCAGGAUUCAUUACCUGAAUUCUAGAGCUUUGGUUAGAGCAGGGAACUUAGAAGGGAUGUUCCAGGUUAAUUUAAAGACUUAGUAAUUUAUAGGGCAAUGCAUAUUCUUCCAC
rnacentral:lncRNA from 12 species